UAAGGGAUCUUGCGACAAUGGGCGAAAGCCUGACGCAGCAACGCCGCGUGCGGGAUGACGGCCUUCGGGUUGUAAACCGCUUUUAGCAGGGACGAAGCGAAAGUGACGGUACCUGCAGAAUAAGCCCCGGCCAACUACGUG
rnacentral:rRNA from 1 species